rnacentral:rRNA from 2 species
AGACCCGAAACCCGGUGAUCUAGCCAUGGGCAGGUUGAAGGUUGGGUAACACUAACUGGAGGACCGAACCGACUAAUGUUGAAAAAUUAGCGGAUGACCUGUGGCUGGGGGUGAAAGGCCAAUCAAACCGGGAGAUAGCUGGUUCUCCCCGAAAGCUAUUUAGGUAGCGCCUCGUGAAUUCAUCUCCGGGGGUAGAGCACUGUUUCGGCUAGGGGGCCAUCCCGGCUUACCAACCCGAUGCAAACUGCGAAUACCGGAGAAUGUUAUCACGGGAGACACACGGCGGGUGCUAACGUCCGUCGUGAAGAGGGAAACAACCCAGACCGCCAGCUAAGGUCCCAAAGUCAUGGUUAAGUGGGAAACGAUGUGGGAAGGCCCAGACAGCCAGGAUGUUGGCUUAGAAGCAGCCAUCAUUUAAAGAAAGCGUAAUAGCUCACUGGUCGAGUCGGCCUGCGCGGAAGAUGUAACGGGGCUAAACCAUGCACCGAAGCUGCGGCAGCGACACUCAGGUGUUGUUGGGUAGGGGAGCGUUCUGUAAGCCUGUG